CCUACGGGAGGCAGCAGUGGGGAAUAUUGCACAAUGGGGGAAACCCUGAUGCAGCGACGCCGCGUGAAGGAAGAAGUCCUUCGGUAUGUAAACUUCUAUUAGCAGGGAAGAAAAGUACGGUACGUGACUAAUCAUCCCCGGCUAAAUACGUGCCAGCAGCCGCGGUCAUACGUAGGGGGCAAGCGUUAUCCGGAUUUACUGGGUGUAAAGUGAGCGUAGGUGGUUUAGCAAGUCAGAAGUGAAAGCCCGGGGCUCAACUCCAGGACUGCUUUUGAAACUGUUGAACUAGAUUGCAGGAGAGGUAAGUGGAAUUCCUAGUGUAGCGGUGAAAUGCGUAGAUAUUAGGAGGAACACCAGUGGCGAAGGCGGCUUACUGGACUGUAAAUGACGCUGAGGCUCGAAAGCGUGGGGAGCAAACAGGAUUAGAUACCCUUGUAGUC
rnacentral:rRNA from 1 species